rnacentral:rRNA from 1 species
AGUAGUUUGAUCCGUGGCUCGAGGACGAACGCUGGCGGCGUGCCUAACACAUGCAAGUCGAGCGGAGACAUACGACGGAGUUGAAGUUUUCGGAUGGAGACAAAGAUGUAUGUUUUAGCGGCGGACGGGUGAGUAACGCGUGAGCAACCUGUCCUUCACAGGGGGAUAACACAGCGAAAGUUGUACUAAUACCGCAUAAGACCACGGGAUCGCAUGAUUCAGGGGUCAAAGGAGCAAUCCGGUGAAGGGUGGGCUCGCGUCCGAUUAGAUAGUUGGUGAGGUAACGGCCCACCAAGUCGACGAUCGGUAGCCGACCUGAGAGGGUGAUCGGCCACAUUGGGACUGAGACACGGCCCAAACUCC